rnacentral:lncRNA from 1 species
UUCAUCAGAGGAAUGAGCUAGAAAACAACUGAUGUGAGUUUGAGGAGCCAUCUUAAGCAAUAAGGACACUCAUCUUCUGUGUGGUAAUGAAAGAACCAAACAUCACAUGCUCUUGGGUCCGGCUUUGUCACUCAGCCUUUGUGGAUAAGAUAGAUGUAGCCAUGAAUGAUAGAGCAGAUGGGUGGAUGGAGAAAGUUGUGAAACCAAAAAGAGCUAUGUCAAAAGAAGACUGUCAAAGACCAGUUUUCCACUUAACUGUAAAAAAUAUCUCCUGGUAUUAAAGCUGUUUCUGAAGAACAUUGUCUAUGGGGUCUUUCGGAAAAGUAUGGGAAAGUUGAAAGUGCUGAAAUUAUGACCUCAUGACCAACAAAAUCAGUAGAAAGAAGAGAACUGCCUUUGUUGACCAUGACUCCAAGAAUAAAGUUGACAUUCAGAAAUGGCCACAGGGGUGAAGUAAGAAAAUCCCUGCAAAAGCAAAAGAUAGGUAGUGCUUCAUGUAUCAAAGUGGUCAAAGUGUUUUUGGAAAGUUUGGUGGUAGCCAUGGAGGUGGUUUAGGUGGAAAUGACAGCUGUGGUCAUGGCAGCUUUGUUGGCAGGCAUACUGAUAAUAGAAAAGAUAGCAGUGGAUUUAUAAUAUAUUUGGUAAUAAUGAGAGCAAUUUUGAGAAUAAUGUAAUUGCCAAAGACAUUAGCAAUUACAACAAUUAAUCUUCAAAUUUUAGACCUAACAGGGGAGAAAUUCUGGAGGCAAAGUGUUGGCUCCUACAAUAGUAGAAGUUAGUACUUUGCCAAACCACAGAACUAAGGUAAGUUCAAUGGUUCUAGCAGUAGCUAAGGCAGUGCCAGGAAA